GGUAUUUAUAUGGAUUUACAUGCCAUUCCAUCUCGUUUUUUGAACCGAAUUGUGCGCGCACGCUGCAGCUUUUCGUUGCCUUUUCUUUAAAAACUUGAAUUAAAUUAGACGCUGAGGCACGUGCCCUGUGGACGUAACACACAAUAUGUUUGGAGAACAUUUGCCGGAAUGUGGACCUCAUUUCAUCGCGCUCUUCACGGACGCGGAUGCGUGGGACCCGACGCGCAAUAACGCGCGCGCUGGAGUGUGAUGCGCGCUCCGGAGCCCGAGGCUCGCGGCGCACGGGCGACGCCGUCGCGACACGUGCGUCCCUUUAUUUUGCGGCGCGCGCGCUGCUGCUGCUGAAAUGCUUAUUUGCUGACUCUUUGCUCGUUCGCUCCCCUCCCUCCUGACUCUAUUUUUGGUCCACGGCGCGGCGGUGUUAAACGCGGGCAGACCACGCGCCUUUAUUAAAAUCAAUUAGUAAAUUGUCUCAUUAACGGCGGUGCUUCACGUGCGUGCGCCGUAUCCGCUCCGGCAUCAGAUCCCGGUACUAAACGGCAUUUUCCCUCUACUCGGAUUUCUGAAGAGCUCUUGAGAUGCGAUAAAAACGGAAGUGCAUGCGGCGUUCAUGGACACUGGGACUAACAUGCUUUGAUGGACAAGGAGGACAACGCAUCUCUGAAGUGCGAGUGCGUAUGGAGCCAGUACGCCGUUGGGACCGCGAUGGAUGCGUGACCAGCGGACACCUCAGGGUUAUGGAGAUAAAGGACCGGAGCGGCGCCGUUAGGUACGAAGAGGGACAGCUGUCCACGUGGGGCACAGAUGGAAAGGCGGGAAGGCAAAGCAAGAGCAGAAACAGAAGGUGGGGGUAAUAAACGUGGCCCAGGUGGCACCAGGAGUCACACCGUGCGACUCGGUGCCUUCGAGUGAGACAGAGCAUUAGUGACAAGUCACCCAGUUACAUCAUGUCACACACACGUCACACACACGUCAUGUCCCGUACACUCCAGCCUUUGGACAGCAAGCAACGUGAUGACGUUCCUCCCACCAUCCACACUGAAUUCUGCAGAACUGGCCUUCCGGUUACAACGUCAGGUAGAGCGUUUCCCCCCCGGACACUUUCCCAAACGUACGCC
rnacentral:lncRNA from 1 species